rnacentral:rRNA from 1 species
UACGUAGGGGGCUAGCGUUGUCCGGAUUUAUUGGGCGUAAAGAGCGUGUAGGCGGCCAGGUAGGUCCGGUGUGAAAACUCGAGGCUUAACCUCGAGAUGUCAUCGGAAACCAUCUGGCUAGAGUCCGGAAGAGGAAAGUGGAAUUCCUGGUGUAGCGGUGAAAUGCGCAGAUAUCAGGAAGAACACCAGUGGCGAAGGCGGCUCACUGGUCCGGUACUGACGCUGAGGUGCGAAAGCGUGGGGAGCAAACAGG